GUCCCGCUGGCUCUCCUCGUGCUAACAAGAUGGCCGCCGGUUUCUUUUCCACGUGGCGUUCGGUUAUACGAACAGCGGCCGCCCAGGGGGCACUUAAUAGCUUGUUCUCUUUGAAGUCAAUGAUCCAGGAGGGUGGUCGGUGUUCGGUAAUUUGAAACUACCGAACUAAUCCAUUCAACAUACAAGUAUUCAUAAUAAUAAAAAAAACUACAGAAUAUCCAAGGAAAAAAAUAGCGGCAAAAGUCUAUUUUCUUCACAGUAAUAUUGGUCAAUCACAAUGUGACGUACAAUUGUACAAUCAUUAAGGAAACACUACAAAUACCAUAAACCUUACAGCUUGCUGUAGUGGCUAUGGUGCCAGGAUUGCCCUGGUGUAUCCUUAUUUUAAAGCGUCAACCCGUUUUUAAUAUUGUGUUAGGAACUUCUGGCUCUUGGUAGAUAUUAUUGGAGGCAGGAAACUGUGCCUGGCAGACAAAGGGUAAUAAGUCAAAUCGUUUAAAAAUGUCUGACUCCUUAAAAUUGAGGGAGCUGUAGGUUAUGGGACUUGUUAUAUUCCUCAAAAAGCACUAAAACAAAUUUUACUUAAAUCUACCUUUUUUUCCCACCCUCCUCUAUACGGGGAACCAAAAAUACUGUUAGCAGCUGCGGCAGGGCUAAUUGUCACGUUCUGUUCCUCACUGCGGAUCAUUCUGGCAAUGGCUUCUGGUAUCCAGUACUCUUUUUGCUGUCCUUUCUUGGUUUUUCUGGUUUUCUGGUCUAUGUCUGGUUUUCGUUAUUGCUGGGUUUCUGGGUUCAUGCUUAUAUUCUGUCCCUGGAUUUCCCAGUCUCUUGGAUUCACUUAAAUGUUUGUUUUAUGUUGCCACACCCGCUUGUUUCCACUUUCCUUUUGUUUCAGCUUGGACCUGCAGCAGUAUUUCAUCUCUCUGCCCUUUCUUGCAGGCAGUGGCGGAUCCAGAGCCUGAUAUCGGGAGGGGCACUUGUAGAUUAUUUAAUUAAAUAAUCCAGGCACAAUAACCACUACAGCUCAGUGUAAUAGUUAUGGUGUCAGUAGUGCCAGGAUUCCACCCCAGAGUAAGUAGUCAUACCGUUCAAGAACAAUUUGACAACUUACCUGGGGUCUGCUGGGAUAUAGGGUAUAGGAGCAGUGGUGUGUGUUAAGGGUGAAGUGUGUGAGUGCGGCAGUGUAUGUCAGGGUUGUAGUGUGUGUGUUAGGGGGCAG